rnacentral:rRNA from 1 species
AACGCUCGCACCCUCUGUAUUACCGCGGCUGCUGGCACAGAGUUAGCCGGUGCUUAUUCUGCGAGUAACGUCCACUAUCCUAGAGUAUUAAUCCAAGUAGCCUCCUCCUCGCUUAAAGUGCUUUACAACCAAAAGGCCUUCUUCACACACGCGGCAUGGCUGGAUCAGGGUUCCCCCCAUUGUCCAAUAUUCCCCACUGCUGCCUCCCGUAGGAGUCUGGGCCGUGUCUCAGUCCCAGUGUGGCUGGUCGUCCUCUCAGACCAGCUACGGAUCGUCGGCUUGGUAGGCCUUUACCCCACCAACUACCUAAUCCGCCAUCGGCCGCCCCUUGAGCGCGAGGCCCGAAGGUCCCCCGCUUUCCUCCUCAGAGCGUAUGCGGUAUUAAUCCGGCUUUCGCCGGGCUAUCCCCCACUCCAGGAUACGUUCCGAUGUAUUACUCACCCGUUCGCCACUCGCCACCAGGGUUGCCCCCGUGCUGCCGUUCGACUUGCAUGUGUAAGGCAUGCCGCCAGCGUUCAAUCUGAGCCAGGAUCAAAC